rnacentral:rRNA from 1 species
GGAGGUCCUGCCUGCCCAGUGACUAUUAGUUAAACGGCCGCGGUAUUUUGACCGUGCUAAGGUAGCGCAAUCACUUGUCCUUUAAAUGAGGACCUGUAUGAAUGGUGGAACGAGGGCUUAACUGUCUCCCCCUCCCAAUCAAUGAAAUUGAUCUGCCCGUGCAGAAGCGGACAUAAAUAUACAAGACGAGAAGACCCUUUGGAGCUUAAGAUACUUCAAUCAUCUGUGUUAAACCCCUCAUAAAAAGGACCAAACCAAAACAGCACCUGAUUAUUAUCUUCGGUUGGGGCGACCGCGGGGGAAAACAAAGCCCCCAUGUGGAAUGGGAAAUAUCCUACAACCCAGAAAGACAUUUCUAAGUCACAGAACUUCUGACCAAAAGAUCCGGCACAAGGGCCGAACAACGAACCAAGUUACCCUAGGGAUAACAGCGCAAUCCUCUUUAAGAGUUCAUAUCGACAAGUGGGUUUACGACCUCGAUGUUGGAUCAGGACAUCCUAAUGGUGCAGCCGCUAUUAAGGG